rnacentral:misc_RNA from 1 species
UUAGAAGGUGGAGUUGCUUCUGGUUUUCGACAUGUAACAGAUGAAGUAGAAAAAAGAUUAUUUCAAGUUAAAGGUCGUCGCAAUGUUAGGGUUCAUCAAGUGGAGCUAAGUAUUGAUUCCAUGAACAAAGGUGACUGUUUUAUUUUGGAUGUUGGUCGAGAUAUAUAUUUAUGGACUGGAGAAAAAAGUGGAAGAAUGGAGAGGAUUAAGGCAAUUCAAGCUGCAACUGGUAUUCGAGAUGAUGUUCAUGCUGGAAAGAGUAUAAUCCACAUACUAGAUGAGAGUUGUUCAGCUGAUGAAAAAGAGAAGUUCUUUGAAGAAUUGGGUGGUGGAAGUGAUGCAGAUGUUAAAGAUGCAGAGUCUGGAGGAGAUGAUGCAGAACAUGAAAGAACUUUAGAAACUGAAGUUAGUUUACACAGAAUAUCAGAUGAACCUAAAUUAACUGUUGAUAGAAUUGCAGAAAAACAAUUGAAACAAGAAUUCUUGGAAUCAGAUAAUUGUUUCCUUUUGGAUGGGGGUAUGAGUGGAAUAUUUGUUUGGGUUGGAAAAGGUGCUAGUCAUAAAGAAAGAGUAGAAUCUAUGAAACUUGCAGAGAAAUAUUUGGAUUAUCGUGGCUAUCCAAAAUGGGUUUCUGUAACACGUGUUAUUGCUGGAGCAGAACCACCAAAUUUUAAACAAUAUUUUGUCUCUUGGAAAGAACCUGAAGAAAAAAUUGGACUUGGAAGAGUAUAUACUCCUGAACAAAUUGCUGCAUCUGUAACUGAACCUGAUUUUAAUGUAUUGUCAUUGCAUCGAGAAAAACGUCUUUUACUUGCAAAGAAUUCGGGUAAAGCCUAUGGUUUUAUGCCAGAUGAUGGAUCUGGUAAUAUAGAAAUUUGGAGAAUUGAAAAUUUUGAACUUGCUCCUGUGGAUGAAUCUGCUAAAGGAAUGUUUUUUGGAGGUGAUAGUUAUGUAUUAAAAUAUACAUAUAAUAUAGAUGGUAGAGAAAGAUACAUAAUAUAUUUUUGGCAGGGUAAAAAUAGCAGUCAAGAUGAAAAAGCUUCUUCAGCAAUAUGGGCUGUAAAAUUGGACAAUGAUCUUUUUGGAAAAGCAAUACAAGUGAGAGUUGUACAAGGAGCAGAACCACAACAUUUCCUACGUAUUUUUAAAGGAAAAAUGAUUAUUUUUAUGGGAGGUCAUGCCAGUGGAUUUCGUAAUGUAAGAGAUCAUGAUACUUAUGAUCCAGAAGGCAGUAGAAUGUUUAGAAUUAAAGGAACUAAUGAUUAUGAUGUCAGAGCUGAACAGGUUCCAGAAGCAGCCAAUUCUUUAAAUUCUGGAGAUGUUUUUGUUGUAGAAACACCAUCAACUACAUAUAUUUGGAUUGGAAAGGAAUCUAGUGAAGAUGAAAGAAAUAUGGGAAGAAACAUAAUAAGUUUAAUAUCUCCUGACAGAGAGGCAGUAGAAAUUAUGGAAGAAGAAGAACCUGAUGAAUUUUGGGAAGGUAUUGGAGGGAAAACAGAAUAUGAAAAAUUUACUGGUUUGCCAGAAAAGCCUCUUUUGGAACCACGUCUGUUUCGAUGUUCCACAGAUACUGGCAAACUUAGAGUUGAAGAAAUAUGUAAUUUCACUCAGGAAGAUUUAGCUGAAGAUGAUGUUAUGGUUCUUGAUUCUGGUGAUGAAAUAUUUAUCUGGAUAGGAAAAGGUGCCAGUGAAGAUGAAAAAUCACAGUCAUUAAAAAUGGCAGAAGAUUAUAUUAAAACUGAUCCCACAGAACGUACUUUAGACAACACUGUUAUUAUAACAAUUAAACAAGGAGAAGAGCCAGCUACAUUCAUAGCAAUAUUUGAUGAAUGGAAUUCAAAUAUGUGGGACUAAUUGAAUAUAGAAGUAGUUUGAACAGUAUCAUCAAAUUAGAGUGGAAAUGAAAUCAUAUGAUGAUUUAAAAAAGGAGAUUGCUGAAAUAUGAGAAAUCAAGGUGCUUUAAUAUAGAAAAAUCAGAAAAACCUUCAAUCCUAUGCUGCCUUUUUAUGUCAAGAUAAUCUCUCUAUUUUAUAUAUUCAUUAAAACAAAAAACUGUACUUAAUUUUUUUAGAAUUAAAAUUUCUUAUGCCUUUUA